CUGCACACUCUUACCCAGCCGAGCCUUCACAUUGUUGAUGGUGUCCUGAAGGAGAGGAGACACACAGGUCAGACUUUCAGCUGGCAGGUCAGGUCUCUCCGGGGAAGUUUGGAGGAUGAAAACAAAGCAGCUAAAUAAGGAAGUGCCCUGGAACUAGUCUGAGUGGAGGAGGAGGUGACUCUGGAGGUGAGAAGCCUGGAUACCUUGUGCUCCAUGGUCCACGCUGCGGCAGAAACACUCCUUCCGACCGGCGGGGAGAGUGAAUGUGAAGUCGCUGUCCAUGGACUGGGAGAAGGCGGCCAGCGCCACAAACCUGUCCGAGACCAGAGCGACAAACACGGACAGCACACACAGAAACCCCG